GGCCAUAUCACAUGUAAACACCAGUUCUCGUACGAUCACUGAAGUUAAGCAAAGUCGAGCCUGGUCAGUACCUAGAUGAGUGAUCGCUUAGGAAUACCAGGUGUAGUA